AUUGAACGCUAGCGGGAUGCUUUACACAUGCAAGUAGAACGGAGUGGCGGACGGGUGAGUAAUAUAUCGGAACGUGCCCAGUAGCGGGGGAUAACUACUCGAAAGAGUGGCUAAUACCGCCUAAUAUUGGAGCGGCCGAUAGCGGAUUAGCGAGUUGGUGGGGUAAAGGCUCACCAAGGCAAAGAGACGCAGCUGGUUUGAGAGGACGACCAGCCACACUGAGACUUAGACACGGCCCAGACUCCUACGGGAGUCAGCAGUGGGGAAUUAUGGACAAUGGGGGAAACCCGGAUCCAGCCAUCCCGCGUGUAUGAUGAAGGCCUGCGGGUUGUAAAGUAAUUAUGGCAGAGAAGCGGUAUCUGCAGAAUAAGCACCGGCUAAGUACGUGCCAGCAGCCGCGGUAAUAC
rnacentral:rRNA from 1 species